rnacentral:lncRNA from 1 species
CUUAAUCACACAUCUUGUUUUCCUCAGAGUCCAAUCCACUUUUCUGGUACACUAAUUUGGAUCUAUCAUAAAGUCACUCUUUUGAAAGAGUCUCCAUCCAACAGAUAUAGGGGUGAGGAGGAGUGCUCUGCACUGACCCAGGUUCUUCUUUUUCCCUUCCUUUAGAAGGGAAGCAGCAUGGCAGUGCCAGGUCUUGGACACACAGUCAGGAGCAGAAUCCAAGACAAUCCCGACCACAGGAGACUGUGGAGGAGAGAAGUGGGGACACUGUGCACCUCAGUAUGCGAACAUGGUGCACUGCAGUGGCUCCGUGAGAUGCCCAAACCAGAAAGGCCUGAUACUACUUCUGCUGCUCUCUGCACAUGGGCCUCUGCACGGCGCAAUACUACCUGA